AGCGAACGCUGGCGGCAGGCUUAACACAUGCAAGUCGAGCGGGCGUAGCAAUACGUCAGCGGCAGACGGGUGAGUAACGCGUGGGAACGUACCUUUUGGUUCGGAACAACACAGGGAGACUUGUGCUAAUACCGGAUAAGCCCUUACGAGGAAAGAUUUAUCGCCGAAAGAUCGGCCCGCGUCUGAUUAGCUAGUUGGUGAGGUAACGGCUCACCAAGGCGACGAUCAGUAGCUGGUCUGAGAGGAUGAUCAGCCACAUUGGGACUGAGAAACGGCCCAAACUCCUACGGGAGGCAGCAGUGGGGAAUAUUGGACAAUGGGCGCAAGCCUGAUCCAGCCAUGCCGCGUGAGUGAUGAAGGCCCUAGGGUUGUAAAGCUCUUUUGUGCGGGAAGAUAAUGACGGUACCGCAAGAAUAAGCCCCGGCUAACUUCGUGCCAGCAGCCGCAGUAA
rnacentral:rRNA from 1 species